rnacentral:rRNA from 1 species
UGGCGCCAAGCUUCUGGCAUUCUCUAUGACAAGAGAGUGCCACAAAAGCUAAAAGGCAAGUUCUACAGGACGGCGGUUCGACCCGCAAUGUUGUAUGGCGCUGAGUGUUGGCCGACUAAAAGGCGACAUGUUCAACAGUUAGGUGUGGCGGAGAUGCGUAUGUUGAGAUGGAUGUGUGGCCACACGAGGAAGGAUCGAGUCCGGAAUGAUGAUAUACGAGAUAGAGUUGGGGUAGCACCAAUUGAAGAGAAGCUUGUCCAACAUCGUCUGAGAUGGUUUGGGCAUAUCCAGCGCAGGCCUCCAGAAGCUCCAGUGCAUAGCGGAUGGCUA